UUGCCGCAGGCAACGGCCCGAAGGGCGAAGCGCGCAGCGCUGAGUAAUCUCUCCCCCACCACCA
rnacentral:sRNA from 1 species